UACGGAGGGUGCAACCGUUGCUCGGAAUUACUGGGCGUAAAGCGCACGUAGGCGGCUCUUUAAGUCGGAGGUGAAAUCCUGGAGCUCAACUCCAGAACUGCCCUCGAUACUGAAGAGCUCGAGUCCGGGAGAGGUGAGUGGAACUGCGAGUGUAGAGGUGAAAUUCGUAGAUAUUCGCAAGAACACCAGUGGCGAAGGCGGCUCACUGGCCCGGUACUGACGCUGAGGUGCGAAAGCGUGGGGAGCAAACAGG
rnacentral:rRNA from 1 species